AGCAGAGCACUGUCUCACAGCCAGGAUGUCUGAUUUGUGGACUCCGCUGGACUUCCAUGACAUGUCUGCUCUUACAUACAAAUCCUACAGACACAAAGUGGGUGGACUCUGGGGCAUCCUGGAAAGAUGUGCCAUCCUUCUCGUUUGCUCAGAUGUGGACUGAUGGAGGUGGAUUCAUACCUUGUUGAUAGAGCAGUGCCUGAUCAGUGGCUGGGAGUCCAGGAGAGCUGCAGAUGGGAUGGAGGCACGCUCUCUCUCAGUGUACUCCAGAAGCAGACACUGCAGGUGCUCGGGACUCAGUUUCUCUGGAGGACUGACUCCACAGGCUGGAUCACUGCAGAAGGAACCACACAGCAAUGAUCAUUUAAAAGAAAAAUCUUAAUUUGUGCAGAAACUCCAGUGAGUACCCAUUAGAAUAGUUUUCUACUGGCAAGACUGCUAUCAGGAGACACUUUUAAGGAUGUUGAUAUAUCACACUGAUUUUGGAGUGCACAGGAUUCAGACUUUUCACAGUUUUCAGAUUUUUUGCUACAGCUAAAAUGUUUUUUCUGCUUUUAGUUUUAUGACCAGCUCCUCAAGUGAAUUGCAUGUGCAGAAGUACAGCUGGGUCAAAACAU